ACUGAACGCUGGGGCAUGCCUUACACAUGCAAGUCGAACGGUAACAGGUCUUCGGAUGCUGACGAGUGGCGAACGGGUGAGUAAUACAUCGGAACGUGCCUAGUAGUGGGGGAUAACUACUCGAAAGAGUGGCUAAUACCGCAUGAGAUCUACGGAUGAAAGCAGGGAAUCGCAAGACCUUGUGCUACUAGAGCGGCCGAUGGCAGAUUAGGUAGUUGGUGGGAUAAAAGCUUACCAAGCCGACGAUCUGUAGCUGGUCUGAGAGGACGAUCAGCCACACUCGGACUGAGACACGGCUCAGCCUCCUACGGGAGGCAGCAGUGUGGAAUUAUGGACAAUGGGCGCCAGCCUGAUCCAGCAAUGCCGCGUGCAGGAUGAAGGCCUUCGGGUUGUAAACUGCUUUUGUACGGAACGAAAAGCCCCGGGUUAAUACCCUGGGGUCAUGACGGUACCGUAAGAAUAAGCACCGGCUAACUACGUGCCAGCCGCCGCCGUAA
rnacentral:rRNA from 1 species